rnacentral:rRNA from 1 species
CAGCAGCCGCGGGAAUACGUAUGUCACAAGCGUUAUCCGGAUCUAUUGGGCGUAAAGCGCGUCUAGGUGGUUAUGUAAGUCUGAUGUGAAAAUGCAGGGCUCAACUCUGUAUUGCGUUGGAAACUGUGUAACUAGAGUACUGGAGAGGUAAGCGGAACUACAAGUGUAGAGGUGAAAUUCGUAGAUAUUUGUAGGAAUGCCGAUGGGGAAGCCAGCUUACUGGACAGAUACUGACGCUAAAGCGCGAAAGCGUGGGUAGCAAACAGGAUUAGAUACCCCUGUAGUCCCUGUCUCUUAUACA